rnacentral:rRNA from 1 species
GUAACGCGUGAGCAAUCUGCCUUUAAGAGGGGGAUAACAGUCGGAAACGGCUGCUAAUACCGCAUAAAGCAUUGAAACCGCAUGAUUUUGAUGCCAAAGGAGCAAUCCGCUUUUAGAUGAGCUCGCGUCUGAUUAGCUGGUUGGCGGGGUAACGGCCCACCAAGGCGACGAUCAGUAGCCGGACUGAGAGGUUGAACGGCCACAUUGGGACUGAGACACGGCCCAGACUCCUACGGGAGGCAGCAUG